GUGUGUGUGUGUGUGUGUGUGUGUGUGUGUGUGUGUGUGUGUGUGUGUGUGUGUGUGUGUGUGUGUGUGUGUGUGUGUGUGUGUGUGUGUGUGUGUGUGUGUGUGUGUGUGUGUGUUGUUAAGUUCAUCUUGAAUGGAUAUAAGAGUUCCGGGACCUGUUGAAAUGAAAAUGUUGUACUGAGAGAGAGAGAGAGAGAGAGAGAGAGAGAGAGAGAGAGAGAGAGAGAUGGAGGGUGAGACAGAGAGAGAGAGAGAGAGAGAGAGAGAGAGAGAGAGAUGGAGGGUGAGACAGAGAGAGAGACAGAGAGAGACAGAGAGAUGGAGGGUGAGACAGAGAGAGAGACAGAGAGAGACAGAGAGAUGGAGGGUGAGACAGAGAGAGAGACAGAGAGAGACAGAGAGAGAGACAGAGAGAUGGAGGGUGAGACAGAGAGAGAGAGAGACAGAGAGAGAGAGAUGGAGGGUGAGACAGAGAGAGAGAGAGAGAGACAGAGAGACAGAGAGAGAGAGAGAGAGAGAGAUGGAAGGUGAGACAGAGAGAGAGAGAGAGAGAGAGAGAGAGAGAGAGAGAGAGACUGCAAGAGAGAUGGAGGGUGAGACAGAGAGAGAGAGAGAGGAAGCGAAUGGUCAUUCAGGGAAUUUCAUCACUUCUGUGAAGUCACUCAGUUUCCUGUUAAAGUCGUGACUGCUGCCAUUUGGCACACACACACACACACACACACACACACACACACACACACACACACACACACACACACACACUGUUACUAAGAGCAGCUCUUAAGACAGCACACUGUGACAGUCUGAAAGCCUUACAUGUCCAUUAAACACAUGCAGUACUAACUAGCUGUGUUCUUUAGCCGCUAUUCAAUCAAUUUCUUAUAGUGGAUUUUCUGGAUCGUGUUUGUAAUCAUGACAGUUCGAGGAAUGAUAGUCAUGACGUGCAUUGACAUGUUGCAAUGGAUUUUGGGGGGGAAAUAACCAAUCACGAUGAGGCGUUGCCAGCUGUGAACUCUAUGGCACGCUUCGUCAGGC
rnacentral:lncRNA from 1 species